GAUCAUGGCUCAGAUUGAACGCUGGCGGCGUGCUUAACACAUGCAAGUCGAACGUGAAAGCCCUUCGGGGCGAGUAAAGUGGCGCACGGGUGAGUAACGCGUGGAUAAUCUACCCUUAAGAUGGGAUAACGGCUGGAAACGGUCGCUAAUACCGAAUACGCUCCCGAUUUUAUCAUUGGGGGGAAAGAUGGCCUCUGCUUGCAAGCUAUCGCUUAAGGAUGAGUCCGCGUCCCAUUAGCUAGUUGGG
rnacentral:rRNA from 1 species